UAUUGGUAUCGUCGUCUGCGAUGUGCGUCUGCAGAUCUGCGUGUGACGCAGGCGACCAGCAGCCAAUGGCGUGACACACAAACGCAGCAGAGUUGCGCAGUUACAUUGCGAGAGGAGCGCAGCCAUUACACUUGAUCUUAAAUCUUUAGAAAACGUCGUGCGGAUUGCACUGGCCAAUCAGUUUUCUCUACAAAUUCCGUGACAGUAUUCUGAAAUUAGCACUCAAAUCCGAGCGGGAUUUUCGCGAUCUCUGCUUAGGAAAGUUGUGAAACUUUAUAAACCGGGUUACUUCACAAGGUGUAGCGCGUCUGCUAGUGUCAGUGUUUCUCAGCUCGCAUCUCACGCGCGCUUUGAUGCAGCGCGAUGAUGGGCACACCUCUGAAGAACGAGCCGUCUGCUGCUGGUUGCAUGCCGUUGUGUUCUGACCUUACGUCUACCGGCGACUCGACUGCACGAGCAUCAUCACAGCAGCGCGAGCAGAUCGAGGCCCCGACUCCUGUUUUACUCUGUGGUCGAGGGAUUGAAGCUGUUUCCACAUCUUCUGAGUUCACCCAUGGUGCCAUCGUGCACCUCAUCGAAGCGAUGCAGAGGUGCUGGGAUGUUUACAGCUCACGCGAGCGCUCGCUUCUCUUCCAGAGCGUUCAGAAAGAACUGGAAAGCCACGGUCACUCCUUACCCGUAGAGAAGAUUCGCCGCAAAUGGAAUAACCUCAUUGUUACAUACAAAAGAGUUAAAGAUCGCAGCUCGUUGUGUGGAGGCCAAACAAAGACCUCAUGGGAGUACUUCGAAAUGAUGGAUAAUAUACUAGGAAAGACUAAAUUUGCUCAGAGAGGCCCUGCUUCAGCCACUCUUGUUGGAUUUGCAACCACAGCCAAAGCAGGUGUAAGAUCAGAGGAUCAUGCGUCUAACAGCAUGCCGGUGGCUGCAAUGACCGCCUCGUGCCUCCUUCCCACUGGAAUCAUCACAUCCUCUUCCCAGAUCCCUACUCUUGUGACGUCCCCGGUGCUGUGCAAAGUUACCCCAAAAUUAAACCCCAGCCCCUCUUGUAGCACAGACACACCUCUGCCCUCCCUUUCACCAAAGCCAGUGCCGCUGGUGAACCGUCAGCCGCUGAAGCGGAGGCUACACCAUCUUCGGCUCAACUCCAUGGCCUCUCGUGUAGCUCAGCAGCAGGGGCAAUCUGAGGAACGCACCGCUCUUCUUCGCAGUUUCCUCACCGCUCAAGAAGAGCGCAUCCAUUUAGACGAGCAACACCAACGCAAGGUAGAUGUGCGUGAGCGACGCAAGGAAAAAUCAGCACGGGCCAUGGCUGAUGCGAUGGGGAGGAUGGCGACGGCACUGGAGCUGAUCUCAUCCAAGCAGGACACCAUUAUCGCUCUACUCCAGAGACUGGCUGAUAAGCACUAAUAUUGCUUUUAUAACAAAAUUGCAUUUAAUUUAAAGUAUAUAAAGUGUGUCCUGUUGUUCAUGGUACAAGUAAUUGAUUUGGGAACCUGUUUCUAGUUGAAAAAGCUUGAACGAUACUGGAAAACAUGGACUCUUUAACAUUAACAAUAUAUACAGAGCCUAUAAAAAUUAUUCCUUCCUUGUAAGUUUUCAUGUUUCACUGUUUCGCAAAGGGUUUUAUUUGGCUAUUUUGACAGUGAAUAACAGUAUUGUUUGAGUCCGUACAAAACUUAUUACAGUUAUGAAUAAUAAUAAUAAAACUCUUCUUUUUGAAGAUGUGUAGUUUUAA
ensembl:lncRNA